AUUUUUCUGCUGUGUCCGUGUAGUCUUUUCAGAUUUCACGGCCCAUGAAACCCACAUCUCUUAUAAGGGAUGCUGAUUUGAAUCUGCGGAUUGCAGGCCUCCCGGAGACUUGUCCCGGAAGUUGGAAGCAGUGAAACAGAACUUAGGCAACCCACCUGCUCAUUUGUGCAGGUUACCUAUGGGCCGGCACGGCAUAAGCGGGCGCCCC
rnacentral:other from 2 species